rnacentral:pre_miRNA from 1 species
CGUGCACCAAUGGGGUCCCUCAGACUGGUUUGUGAGAGGACACAGGCCAGGUCAAGGGACCCCACCGGUGCACA